CCAGGCCUUGACAUACUCGGCAAAGCUCUAGAGAUAGAGUGGAGGUUAUCCGGGAUCAGGUGGUGCAUGGUUGUCGUCAGCUCGUGUCGUGAGAUGUUGGGUUAAGUCCCGCAACGAGCGCAACCCUUGUCUUUAGUUACCAUCAUUCAGUUGGGGACUCUAGAGAGACUGCCGGUGAUAAACCGGAGGAAGGUGGGGAUGACGUCAAAUCAUCAUGCCCCUUAUGGCCUGGGCUACAAACGUAAUACAAUGGCGUAUACAAAGGGAUGCGAAAGGGCGACCUGGAGCAAAACUCACAAAGUACGUCUCAGUUCAGAUUGGAGUCUGCAACUCGACUCCAUGAAGGCGGAAUCGCUAGUAAUCGCGGAUCAGCAUGCCGCGGUGAAUACGUUCUCGGGGUUU
rnacentral:rRNA from 1 species